CUUUUUACCACACACCGUUACACCAUAACGCCACUGUUGACUACGACUGUCAACCAAGAAAAUCCUAUACCAGGAAAGACGAACCCCUUUAAAAGCCGCUGUCAUCGAGACGGACGGUCUCUAUUAGUGAGUACGCGAAGCCAUUUAAAAGUAAAAGUGUAGCCCUAGUGUCCCGCGAGGUGUAGCUAGUCGAAGUCCGGCCUAAAAGUUCGCCGCCGGAGACUGCUUCGAAGUGCCAAGUAAAGUGACUUGAAGAAAGCCGCCGGAGAAAGCGAGAACCGGCUUCCCGUGUGGAAAGUGUGGAGGCUUAGUGCACUAGUGGACUCAAGACUAAACCUCGACGCCAAUAGCCUUCGCGUGCUGCUCUUGAAGACUUCCGAGCGUUUUCCGUUUUCUCGGAACCGACGAAAAGAGGUGCUGGCCAAUCGAAGAUCCUGAAUCAGCGGACCGCUGGAAAGGGCCACGUCUGGGAUCCCAAUUCGAAGCAACCAAGGUUUGAAGCAGCAGAACGAGAUGGUCCGUCGAAGAUGCGUCGUAGUACUCGGCUACCCGACCGCCGAUCGGGUCCCGUCACGACGAUCAGGAAUCCCACGAUGGUGAUGAGAUUAUAAAGGUGUGUAACCCAACCUGUAUCCUUUCUCCUUUCUUUCCGAAUGAAAAUUAAAAUGAACUAUAUAAACUAAAUGUAAA